rnacentral:rRNA from 1 species
GACAGAGGUGCCAAGCGUUAGGCGGAAUCACUGGGCUUAAAGCGUGUGUAGGCGGAAUUGUAAGUACCUUGUGAAAUCCCACGGCUCAACCGUGGAACUGCUCGGUAUACUGCUUUUCUUGAGCCACUUAGGGGUCGUCGGAACAAACGGUGGAGCGGUGAAAUGCGUAGAUAUCGUUUGGAACGCCAACGGUGAAAAACAAGACGCUGGGAGUGUG